rnacentral:lncRNA from 1 species
GGGAGAUGUGAGAGUCGCCCCCUGCUCUUGUCCGCCUCCUGCAAGCCGGGGGAGGGGGGGGCUGCCCGGGAGAAGGGGAAGGGAAAGGGAAGGGGGAGGGGGUCUGGGCGAUCCCGGGGCUCGCUCACCUCUCUUGCUCCUGCCGAUCUGGCCCAGUUUGGGCGGUCUCUUGUUCUGAGCCGCCCCGAAGAAGUUGUUGGUAUCCUGCAGGCGGCACGUGAAGAUCUGGCCCACGUCCCCCCCGUCUCCAUAGUGCCCCAGCUUUUCCUCGUUAAACGGCAGCACUUCCGACAUGUUCUCGCCCGGUGGUUCGGCGGUGCCGCCUCCUCCUCCUCCUUCCCCGCCGGCGGACAGGGUCAGCGCUGGAGCAGGCGGGCGGCCGGAGAGGGGCGGUCCGGGGCAGGGGAGGGGAGCCCCGAGGCGGCGAGCCGGGGGGCGCGGGGCCGGGGCAGUGGGACGGCCGGGGGCCGCGGAGGGAGGACCGGGGGAAGCGGGAGAAGAGAGGGCGAGAGAGGAGAGAGGGAGCCCCGGGCGUCCGCAGCUUCACUCCGACCGCCGCCGCCGCCGAGUGCACCCUCCGCCGCCGGGUGCAGUCACAUCCUUGUCUCCGCCGCGCGGUUCCUCCGGCUCUGUAGGGGGGCUGGCGGAGGGAGGGGGGCUGGGAUCCUGGGGCGCUGCAGGGGGGGACUGAGCAGAGAGAGACAAGGGGGAUCCCCUUCAAGCAGAGCUGGGAAGGGCAGGGCCGGGAGGAGGUGGAGGAGGGGGGAUGGGAGCCCCGGGGAGGGGGGGGGGGGAGCCGCUGGCUACCCCUCGCCUGCUGCCUGGGCCGCCGAGGUGCCGCUGCUGCUGUUGCUGCUGCUGCUGGCGGCGAAGGUCCGGAGAAAGCUGAUGGAGAGAGAUGUGCAGAGACAGGGAUUCGAGGGAGAGAGGGGGAGGGGACAGGGAGGAGGGGUGGAGAGGGAGAGAGGAAAGAGGGUAAGAGGGAGGGGAGGGGAGGAGAGGAGACUAGAGAUCCCUGGAAGAUGA